UACGUAGGAGGCGAGCGUUGUCCGGAAUUACUGGGCGUAAAGCGUGCGCAGGCGGCUUUGCAAGACAGAUGUGAAAUCCCCGGGCUCAACCUGGGAACUGCAUUUGUGACUGCAUGGCUAGAGUAAGGUAGAGGGGGAUGGAAUUCCGCGUGUAGCAGUGAAAUGCGUAGAUAUGCGGAGGAACACCGAUGGCGAAGGCAAUCCCCUGGACCUGUACUGACGCUCAUGCACGAAAGCGUGGGGAGCAAACAGG
rnacentral:rRNA from 1 species